AAGUUUUGGUGACUGCGCUCCUCCAAGCCAGUUACCCUGGUUCAGAAACUUGCCGGUUACUGAACCUUCGAAAAAACCACCUUGCCGGGUGGUUUUUUCGU
rnacentral:antisense_RNA from 1 species